AUCCAUUCCCCUGCCAAGAUUUCUUCCCAGUUUCCGUCAGUGAUCUCUUUGAGGCUGCUCGGUUUGGCCAAAGCUGGCUGCGACGUCAGAAUAUGCAAGUUGAGGCUUAAAGUAGCUAGCUACAGAUAUUGAAGCAGGAUGAGCUGGGCCGUGGAGGAGUGGAAGGAUGGUCUUCCAGGCAAAGCCCUGCAGAAAAUACAAGAGAUUGAGGGACAGCUGGACAAGCUGAAGAAGGAGAGGACUCAGAAACAGUUCCUGCUCGACUCACUGGAGGCUGCUCUACAGAAACAGAAACAAAAGGAUGGUGACGACUUAUGAUGCUGAAUUCAAUAACGAUUCUUUCUAGAAGGGGACAUUUUGUCUGACGUUCAAUGUUUUAAAUGCGUGUGUUCUCCCGGUGGACAGUCAGAAGAGUGAGGCGUCUGCCGUAAAGAGGGAGAACCAGUCCUUAGUAGAGUCAUGUGAUGCCCUGGAGAAGGCCCGUCAGAAGGCAACCCACGACCAGGGGGAAAGAGAACAACAGGUCAGCUCAACACCAGCAAGAAGACCAUAGAACGACUGGAGCAGGAACUCAAGAAUUAUAAGAAUGAAAAGGACCAUUCUCAGCCCUCCCACUCCUCUGAUCUACAGUCCUACAGCACUCCUCAGAAGACCUUCGCCACUCCUGCUGCUACUCCCAUCUACAGACAGCAUGACUCCAGGCUGGAGGACCUUCAGGAGAGAUACAACCAGGAGGUAGAGGAGAGGAAGAGACGGAGGCUGAACUCAAAAUCACACAGGUCAAAUUGUUGAACCAGUCGUCCGUCAGUAAUAAAGACAUUGCCGCCCGGCAACAGGCAGGCUCCUCAGUAUUCCCAAGGCAACAGCAGGACCAGGGCUGCCAGUCCAAGGGUAAUAUUGAAACGCCCCUGAAGAGGCGGGGCGGGGGUGGGACAUCCUCUGAUGGCUUCUUGUGGAAUGCAGAGGAGACGCCAAUCAAACCCGGCCAGCGAUUCAGCACGUCUGUAUCGCAGUUUGACUCUGAUGGCUCCUCCUCCCUGCAGAUGGAACAGCUGAUGAUGCUGAAACAAGAGCUAAAGAAUAACGUGUCUUAGCUGGAGCAGCGUCGGCGGUCACAGGAGAAGGAUGCGAGGCUGCAGAGCGGCAGGCUCCAGGAGCUUCAAGGCCAGCUGGACCAGGCUAGGAGAGACCUGACAGACAGAGACAAGACCCUGGACAAGACCAGGGAUGAACUCAGCAAGGUUACCACUCAGCACGAACAGGCUGUUGCCAAGUGUGUGUCAGUGGAGCAGAAGUUGAAGCAGGUCUCUGAGGAGAUAUCCUGCCAGAGGCACAAUGCUGAGAGCUGCAGACGAGCCCUGGAACCGAAGGUCAAUGACCAGGAGAAGGAGAGGCAGAAAGUCUGCCGUUGUUCUUUGUAUCUUUAGUCUUUGUAGUCUAAAUUAAUUCCGCGAAUCCACAUUGAAGGCUCGGAACAGAACGUUUUUCUUUCACCGGUUGACAAUUGCUCUGUGGCAACUUCAAUCGCUGUUACCAUGUUUGUUUGUUUCUUGUGAAACAGCUGUUGCUGAAGGGAGGUGUAUACAUUGAUAUUGUGUUUAUGUGUAGGAGCUGUCCCACCUCCGUUGUGCAUGUAAUAUGACAAAUUAUGUAAGUAUUUUUGUUAAGAGAGGGAUGUGAUUUGAGAAGCUAUAAGAGAUAAUUGUUUUCCAUAAGCUUUGCACAGUGAGUAGUCACCGCCAGCAUGCUGGAACCGCCCCUUUUGAGCAGAAUGUAUAAAUGAUAGAUUAAGAAAAAACACAUCAGACCAGAAAAGCGUGAAGCGGCAGCUACACGUCUAAAAUGGUUGGAACUUUGAAUCUCAACACGAGGUGAAGAAAAGAAACUCACCUCCCAGACAAUCACUGGUACGGCUGAUUAGCUGUCCUAAGUAAGGUAUCUUCGAAAGCGAAUUUAAGUAAGUAGGACCAUCUGCUACUCUGCUCCAACUAUCGUAUUACGCUACUCUCAUCACCCCACUGGGGAACCAUCGAUACGGCUGGCUAUCCUAUCUUCAAAGAAGCAACUUCAAGAGCGAAUAGAAGGGAAAUCAAUUCUGUAGUUCUGUUCAGGACUACAUGACAAGGUAACGGAUACCGGACAUCUACGAGGAAGGACAACAGUAGAAGACUGUUGGAACCAUUUCGGACAAUCAGACCCUUACCAGCGUGCCGUGAAAAGGCCACAACCCACUUUCUAAGGCUGCCCUGUCCACCGAGAGAUCCCCGGCGCACCCAGGCAUUUCACGUAAAUACAUUCAUGAUUUCUUACUCAAAGCGGGCGGCGGUUCGUGUGCGAAGUAUAUGGUUACUGUAGGUGAAAGUAGUUUCUGAAUGUACCAAUGUUAAGUGUCUCUGUCCCUCUGUCCCUCCCUUUCCAUCUCUUCUUUAACUAGCAGCCAUGUUGUUGUCAUUCUGCUAGGGACCUGUUUUCUCCAGUCAAUAACCGGUGCAGAGUGUGUGUGUUUAU